AUGGAGCUAGGCCUCACACUCCAGCUAGCCGCACCGCCGGUGCGCCUCCCCCGCGGGUAUAUUGCAUCGCCGUGUGCGCCAGUAAGGAGCGGAGUACGGGCGGGGAGGCACGAGAGUAGGAGGGCUGGGGCUGUGUCGACGAGUGGGGGUGUGAGCUACGCGGUGGUUGAAGAUGGGGAGGUGAACGAGGGGGAGGAGAUGGCGAGGCCACGGCUGGAGCUCACCGAGAAGCUGGAUCGGUGCCUGGCGCUGCUGGACGAGUACGAGUCGGAGGAGCUGGGGGCGGCGCUCUGCGCCAACCACCGCAGUGCCCGGCUUGUGGGGAUGGUCAGCGGCAAGGCGGAGCGGAACACAGAUGUGUCCUUCGCGCUCGACGACGGCACCGGCCAUAUCGACUUCAUCAGAUGGCUGACAUGGAAAAAGUUAUGGAACAAGGGGUACCAGAAGAUGGAGAACCAAAGAAUGUUGCUGCUGUUGUUGCUGACAUUCUCACUAAAGAAUGUCCCUCCAGCACAUUCCUUCAAAAUGUUGGCCUUGAGUCAAGCUCCAAGAUGA
rnacentral:rRNA from 1 species